rnacentral:rRNA from 1 species
UUUCGUGGGGGAUAACGUAGGGAAACUUACGCUAAUACCGCAUACGACCUACGGGUGAAAGCGGAGGACCUUCGGGCUUCGCGCGAUUGAAUGAGCCGAUGUCGGAUUAGCUAGUUGGCGGGGUAAAGGCCCACCAAAGCGACGAUCCGUAGCUGGUCUGAGAGGAUGAUCAGCCACACUGGAACUGAGACACGGUCCAG